rnacentral:sRNA from 1 species
AUUUGUUAAAAGAGUCUUUUACAUAAGAGAUAAAAUGAAAUGUUCUUAGCUUUCAUUUCAAAAUUUUCAAAAUCAAUUAUAAAAAAAUCCUAAGAACUAAGCUAAGACUAACCUAAGAUACUACCAAUAAUGAUGUUCUUAGUCCCAAUUUUCGACGAAUAGAGAGAAUACUGUUUCGAAAGAAUCUCAGGUUCCUCUUACUUGACCCAAUUUGUCAUUAAAGUUUUAAAAUUUCUUUCGUUAAUUAAUACAGUAUUUAUUAAAUAAAUCUCGUUCAAGGGGUGUUUUGGCAAAAUAGUCACUUUUUCAAACUUAAUUAGGAAAGUAGUCACUUUACUAUUCAUAAUUUGCAAAGUAGUCACUUUUCACUGUUUGAUUCGUACACUUGGAUUGUACAUCACUUUUAUUGUACAAAUGUAAAGUGUACGCUGUGUAUUUUUUAUAUACAUCUGAUCACUAAAAGUGGUGUACAAACUAAGUGUACGAAUCAAACAGUGAAAAGUGACUAUUUUGCAAAUUAUAAAUAGUAAAGUGACUAUUUUUUCAAUUAAAUUUUAAAAAGUGACUAGUAUACAACUUAACCCUUAAAAGUUACUACUAAUUGGAAGAUAGGAGGAGCGCCAUCAAAAGUCAAAAAU